rnacentral:sRNA from 1 species
GCUGGGGGUGGUGGCCCACGCCUGUAAUCCCAGUGACUUGGGAGGCUGAGGCAGGAGGAUCGUGAGUUCAAAGCCAGCCUCAGCAACAGUGAAGUGCUAAGCAACUCAGUGGGACCCCGUCUCUA